UGUGGUGCUGUGAAGGACAAGCUGUGGAGCCAGACAGACCUGAGUUCCAAUGUCAGUCCUGCCUCAGACUUGGUCUGUGAGCUAGGGCAAGCCAUGGCCCCAUCCCGAGCUGCCCUUGCCUCCUCUGCACAAGCGGCUGGGACUAGAUGGCCGGUUGUUCCACUCUUGAGCUGCAAAGGUUUUGGCUUCCUGAGAAGCCCAGUGGGGAAGCCAGAUGUGAGCAGCAGCGCUGGCUGUGGGGUGGGAGCCCUGACUCCCACCCUCCCCUGGCAGGCCCUAGGAGGAGCCCUAGGCCUCGAAGAAUCCGUUCAACUAAAUGAUCCCCCAAUCCCUUGUGCAAGUGGCCCAGCCUCUCUCAAUGUCAGUUGUCUUCUCUGUAAAAUGGAUGCAUCCCAGUAGCAACAUAGGCAAGUACUUAGCCAUGUGACCCCCCUCUGGGGGCUCUGCCAGUUGUGAGCUCUGCACAGAAGGUUUCCUUCCAUCUUGGUUGGAGGAAUCCCUUUUCCGCCCACCCACCCUGACUUCAUGCUCACCUGGGGCGCGGCAGGUCACAAGAUGCAGAGUCCAUCUGCAGAACCAAGGUAUGGGCUCAUCCCCCAGACACAUACAUCACCUCCAUCCCACGCUGCCUGCAGGUACCUACUGGGUGGAUCCAAACCUUGGCUGCUCAUCUGACACCAUCGAGGUCUCCUGCAACUUCACGCAUGGUGGACAGACGUGUCUCAAGCCCAUCACGGCCUCCAAGGUCGAGUUUGCCAUCAGCCGGGUCCAGAUGAAUUUCCUGCACCUGCUAAGCUCCGAGGUGACCCAGCACAUCACCAUCCACUGCCUUAACAUGACCGUGUGGCAGGAGGGCACUGGACAGACCCCAGCCAAGCAGGCCGUGCGCUUCCGGGCCUGGAACGGACAGAUUUUUGAAGCUGGGGGUCAGUUCCGGCCCGAGGUGUCCAUGGAUGGCUGCAAGGUCCAAGAUGGCCGCUGGCAUCAGACACUCUUCACCUUCCGGACCCAAGACCCCCAACAGCUGCCCAUCAUCAGUGUGGACAACCUCCCUCCUGCCUCAUCAGGGAAGCAGUACCGCCUGGAAGUUGGACCUGCGUGCUUCCUCUGACCUCUGACCUCUUGGCCCCUCUAGGCCUCACGGAGGAGGGAAGAGGAAGAGGCAAGGGGAGGGUACUGAGGGGCAGAUGGCUCCAGGAGAGGCAGCUCCUUUGCCCAAGGGUCCUUGGGCAGACCCCAGCUGUUGUCUGCCCAGUAGAAGUGGGUGGGGGUAGGAAGGGAUAGGGUGUCCUUGGGAACAAUGGAUCCCAGCUUAGCCCCAAAGACCAACCAAAGAGCCAGCCAGAGUAAGCUGGACCUGCAACCCGCCUGAGCCCCAUGGCCUCUCAGCUCUGCGGCCACCCCGUUCCCUCCCCAGCUUCCUGCCCAAAGAGCCCCACAUUCAAGCAACUUGAGGGAAGGGGGCGUCUCGUCAGCUGGUCCCUGCUAGGGAGCUAUUGAUGUGCAAUAUUAGAAAGGAGACAUGAAAAAAGGAGAAAAGGAAAGACAGAAGUAUAUAUAUAUUAUUUAAACAAACAAAAAGAAGGUGCGUUACUAUUUUUUUUUCACCCGGGAAAGAGGUGAGAGGAUGGGAAGGAGCAGCCAGGCGUGGGAAGCGGCGAGAUCCUCGGGCUGGGGGUGCCCAUGUUUGCUACCUCCCACUGUGAAAUCGCUGGUGCUCGCAAUUGUCUCUCAUAGUGUAUGUGAUUUUUUUAAGGAAAAAAAAAACAACCCUAUUUAAGAUUCUGAAGGUGCUACCAUUAUUUUGCCACAGACUUUGAAGAAACUUUUGGAUGUGGGGCAUCAUCCGCAUCUUUCUCUCUCCUCCAAAUGACAAAGUUUGGGGAAUUUUUGAAUUUUCCUAGCAUCACCCUUGUGCUCAUCAGGUAAUCUGCUAAGGAGG
rnacentral:sRNA from 1 species